rnacentral:rRNA from 1 species
UACAGAGGUCCCAAGCGUUGUUCGGAUUCACUGGGCGUAAAGGGUGCGUAGGUGGUGAUGUAAGUUCGAUGUGAAAUCUCCGGGCUUAACCCGGAAACGGCAUUGAAUACUACAUUGCUUGAGGGUCGGAGGGGAGACUGGAAUUCUCGGUGUAGCAGUGAAAUGCGUAGAUAUCGAGAGGAACACCAGUGGCGAAAGCGAGUCUCUGGACGACACCUGACACUGAGGCACGAAAGCUAGGGGAU